CAUUUCACCCUUCCAUUUUCACCCUUCAUUUUUCCUCUUUUGUUUUACGCAUUAUGCUUCCAUGUCGCCAGCAUCAACGCUGUCAUGCCUCACGUUUGAAAUGUCUUCAUCUCCUUUCUGUUUUUACGUCUUCUUCCAACUUUUCAUCUUUCAAUGCAGCAAGCUACGAUGCCAACACAUUGUAAGCUUGAUUUUCCUUUGAUCUUCAUUUUUGUUUUUGUUUCUUAUUUAGGUUUCUAUUUUUGGUCUAUUUUAGUGCUUUCAACUUUUGAGUUUGCCCUUUAUUUUAUUCUUACAGAAAAACCUAAACUUCUAUCCAAGUUUGCCCUAAUUUCCUUCAUCUUUUGGUAUUUUCUCUUCUUCCCUUUUAACUUCUAAUUUUUUUUCCAAUUUACUCUUGAGAAAAACCCUGAAUUUAUGAUUGAAUGACAAUCAAUCUUUUAUUUUCAUUUCAUCAGAUUGAGGAUUGAUAACCUAAUGUAUAUGAAGUGUUUUUUUUUUUUUUUUAUUGUCAUGCAAUUGAAAUAAAUGAUUAAUCUCUAUUCAUUUUUAACUGGUCAACAUAUAAGGUUUGUGGGUAAUUUGUCCUUGAUUUUGUAGUUUUUUUUCCUUCUUUUUUUAUAUUAUUUUUUUUCUCAGUGAACUUUCAUCUAUAGCGCCAACAAGUUGGAGAUAUGUUUAAGGUGAUAUCAUAGAUAUUCAAUAAGAUGAGGGAAAAGAGGAAGAUUCUUGAUCUUACUAGCACACUCGAAUGUAUCGAGAAGAACUUUGUCAUUACUAAUCCAAAGCUUCUUGAUAACCCCAUUGUAAGAAAUUUAUAUAUAUUCUUUUUUAUAGUGUCAUCGUUUGUGUUUCUUUUGCAUCAAAGUUGUUUGGAGAUUGAUUGUUAAUUUGUGUAAUAUUGUAACUAAAGAUGACAUAUAUGAAUAUGAGGGUAAAUUUUUAUUUGAUUUUUUAUAUAUUUUCCUCUAUUUGUCGGCUCACGUUUUUUGUAACGUCAAUUUGACGUUAAUGACCAAAAAUAAAGUUUUUGGAUAUUGUAGAGAUGAAAUCCAAACAAAUAUUUUUCAGAGACUAAAAACACGGGGACCAAAAAUAUAUUUAAACGUUUUGGUCCACGCUUCCUUUUGUCAAUUAACAUUUUUGUAACGUCCAUUUGACGUUAAGGACAAAAAAUAAAUUUUCCUGAUAUUACUGGAUGAAAUCCAAACAAAUAUUUUUAUAUGUACUAAAACUAAAAACGGUUAUAUUUACAGGGACCAAAAAUAUAUUUAAACAAAAAAAAAAUUAUGUUGAUAUAAUAUUUUGUUGAUAUAUGUACUUUUAAAGAGUAGGUCUUAAUUGAAAAUAUAAUCAUUCUUGUUAAGAUUUAAAUUACAUUUAGACACAAAUUCAUAGGUUGCUUCAUUUUAUCAAAUUAAUUAAAACAAUAAGUUAUAUUUUAGCUUAACUUGUUUUAAAAAAUCAAACUAAUAGAAACCUAAAUAAAAGUUAACGAGCAGUGAUAUUAAAAACCUGAAUAAAAGUUAACGAGUAGUGAUAUUUGGACAUUCAGAUUUGGCUUGAGAAUGUUUAGGGUGUGCGACUAUAUAAGAUCUCAAGUAUUCAGGGAAAUCAAAAUUUUAUUUUUAUAGUAUAAAAAAUUAUAUAGUAAAAAAAUGUUAAAGGUUGUGUAGUUUUAUGUUUUUUCUUCUUAAACUCUAGAUCUAAAAUUCUAAAUUCAUAAUUGUUGAACCUUUAUGAUUGAAUAUGUACAAAAAAACGAUUGGCAUUUUUUAAUCAUUAGAUUUGAAUUUAAACCCUAGAAAAAAAAAUAGUUUUGUUUAUCAAAUUCUCUUACUCUUAUUACUCCUUGGUCCUAAAAUUUAUGAUAAAGAACAAAAAGUUCAAAUUAUUUGUUUUAAGAAUCUCUUUUACUAACAAUUAUUCGUUCCUACUUUCAUCUGAAAAACAUAAUCAUCUCUUGUUAAAAUGAUGGCUGAAUGGGAUCUUAACAUCUUGUCGUGCAAAAGUAUAUAUAUGUUGAUUGCAUCGAACAUCAAAAAAUUCAUUAUCAUUAUCUUAGUCAUAAGAUCCAAGCUGAAUUGAUUAAUAUGUAUAAAAAAACAUAAUAAUUUAUUUAAAAUUGCAUCAAAUAUAAUAAAAUACAUUAUCAUAAUAUGACUUAUAAUAAAAUAAAAAACAUGAAUAAAAAUAAAAUAGGACACCAAUUUCAAACUUUGCACAUGACACUAAAAUUUUCAAGAACCACUUUGUGAACAUUUGUUACUUUUCUACACCCAUUUACCACUUCAUCCUCUCCUUAUCUCUUUCUUUCUAUCACAUCACUAUUCAUUACAUUAUUUUCUCUAUUUUUUUUUUUCUUUAUGUGAAGGUAUUGAUAAGGUGUAUGGGUAUAUAUCCAAAUAUAAUUGUUAACAAAUCAAUUUUACAUAUCAAUUAUUAUAUUUGAACACCUUUAAUUUUCAUUUAUUUAUUCAACACUUUGAACACUUCAAUCUUACAUAUCAUUAUCUAUUUUUUCUCUCUCAAAGUAUCAAAUGUAUGUUUGAAUGUCUACUAAUACUACGUAUAUUUCGAACAAACCAAAAGAAUAGCCAAUCUUGUAUUAUAACCAUAAAUAUAUUAUUAAAUAACUCCGAUGGUCCAUAAUAAAAUGUGGUGGAUGAUAAAAUUUAAUGGUAAAAAAAAGUAGACCAUCAUAUACCAAUGCAUCUAUUGGGUGAAUGCUAAAAGGAACCGUCCACCAAACAUUUUUCCUUUACAUAUUCUUUUACCAUGGAAUUCUAGGUAUUAGCUAGAUUGUGUACAACAAAAUAACAAGGAGGAAAAAAAUAUCAAACUCAUGUGUAUGUGAUUUUUAGUUUCGUAAAUUUGAUACCAAUAGAAAAGCUUGAUGAUAAUAGUCAUCGACUAUAAUAGUUAAUAAAUAUUUUGACCCAAAAAAAUACUUAUUAUUAUUGUUAGAGUAAAUGGUUAACAUCAAUAGCAACAUAAAAAUUACAUUAAAAAAAUAGAAAACAUAAACUAAUAUUUAAUUGAAUAAUAUCUUAGUAAUUGAUUUUAGUGAAACCCAAAUCUCGUAAAAAUGUUGUAUUUUUAUUUUUUUAAAUUUAUAUAUUUUAUUUUAAUAAAACAUUUUAGAAGCAACUUAUUGUUAUAAAGAGAAAAUAAAAUGUUAAUUAAUCGAGAUAAAUUUUGAAUAUAAUAUUAAAAGUUAUAUACUUUUAUUGUUUCUUAAAAUAUAGACAAUUUUGUUGACGAUAAAUUUGACACAAACUUUUAAAAAUAAAAAUAAAAUAUUUUCUCAAAGUAUAGUAGCCCUUAAAGCAUGUCACGAUGUUCAACGUCCUUCAUGUAUAUACAUAAAUAUUGUCGGUUUUAAUAAGUCUGGCAGGUUAAUACACCACGUAUGACUACAAUUACAAGUUGACACCUCAUGAACAUCUGUUUUAAACCAAACUCUUCUUUGGUCCACUCCAAAUUAGACCUAAACUCAAUAUUACCUAACCCUAUCUCCACCUCAAUCACAUACACGACUACAAUUAUAAGUUGACACCUCGUGGAGAAUUGUUCUGGACCAAACUUUGAUCCACUCCAAAUUAGACCCAAACAUAAUAUCACCUAAUUCUAACCUCCACCUCAAUCACAUGUUAAUAUUGGAGUGCAAUUUAUAGCGACUAAAUAUUGAUAGUGUAGCUAUUUUAUAUACAAAUAUUAUAAUUUUUAUGCAAAAAAUACAAUUUUUUAGAAGGCCCAACGGGAUUUGAACCGGUGCAGUCAGAUGCUCUACUACUGAGCUAUCAACCCAAGUGCUUUUUAGAAUUUAAUUAAUAUAAUAAUUUUACUAAAUAAAACAAAUGAUUUAAUUAUAAAAUUUGCAAUUGGCACAUAUUUAAUGAAAAAAUAAUGAAUUUAUCGUACUUUAUUUAAAUAUUUUAGGAAAUACUUUUUUUUUGUGUGCCAGCAAUUAUUAUAUCAUACAAAGAUCAAACGAACAUAAACCCUAUACAUAAUAUAAAGGUCCAACAUAAAAAUUUUAUUUCAUUUCGUCCUUUGUUUAAUUGUCGAUUUUAUAUAAAAUAUUGUUACCAUAUAUUAGUUGAUUUCAAAUUGUACAAUGCAACAUUAACUAUUGAAUUAUAAAGAAUUAUAUAUAUAUAUACAUAUCUAAAUCACUCGUCAUAAUAACAUGUUGGAAAAAUAUAGGUGUCCACAAAUUUUGUAAAUAAGUAAUGAUAUAUGUGUAACACUUGAUUAAUCACGUAUAAAAAUAUGAUUAAUUCAAUUAAGUAAUCGAUUAAUUGAGCUAAUUAACCAACAUUUUAAACGUAGUUUAAAUUAAGUGUCCGAUACUUCUACUCUAGGAGAAUAUAAACCAACUAUAAAUGGUACCAUAAAUUUUGAAAAUUAGGUGCAUGGAUGCCAUGUGCACAACAAAUACAUCUUCUUGGAUACAACAAUGGUACCACACAACACAAAGAUUUGCAAAACUAGUUGUGCAUGAAUGCCAUGUAAAGAAAACACCCUCUUGGAGACAACCAUAAAGUUUGGAAACGAUCAUGAAGUUGUGUUGCAUGGAUGACAUGUACUCAAACUUGGUAUCCAUUUAUACAAAUAAAUGAUUGAACAAUAUAUAUACGACAAGUUUUGCAUGCAAUUGUGAAUUUAUUCUCUAAAUAAUAAGAAUAUUGUAACAAUCUCAUAUUCAUCUCACUAAGAUUCAACAAUCAUCACUUUUUUAUAGCCGACAAAUGGAGUUUGAAUAUUUAUCUCUUUUAGCUUUGUUUUGUGUAGCGGCCUAUAUUCUACUAUGCUAGCUUGAUCAUAUUAUAUGUAUGGUUUUCGUUUGAAAUCAUCAUGAACACAAAUCUAUUGUGAGUAUUUUAUACAUUUGGCUUUUGUGAGAAUUGGUGCCUUAGCUAGGUAUGGUAAUGGGGCAAUUUUUGCAUUUCUUACCCAUGUAUCUGACUAGUCAUGGAAAAUCUACACCCGCUUUUAUUUUUUAUCGGGUGUGAAAUUUAAACCUUCAUUCCUAUCUGCGACGGGGUUCGGCCUUCCCUGCUUGCACUCACACUCAUUCAUAUAUAUAAAAUAAUAAAUUUAAAAGUUAUAUUUAUUAUAAUUAAUAUUAUACAAUAAUAAAAUUAAAAAAAAAUAUUAAAAUCAUGUUUUCUAUAGAGAGAAAAUUCUAAUUUUAAUAUUUAAAAAAUAUUAAAUAUAUUGAAUAUGUAUAUGUAUAUAAAAAUUUAAAAAUGACAAUAAAUUUGUGUGCUCAAACCCCUCAACAAAUCGGUGUCGCUGAGAUAAAGAACCGACACUUGGUGGAAAUGGCUCGUAUCAUACUCCUUCACAAUAAUGUACCUCCUCGUUUUUUGGGGGAUGCAAUUCUCAUAGCUUGCUACUUAAUCAAUCGCAUGCCUUCCUUUGUACUUGAAAACAAGGUACCACAUUCUAUUUUAUUUCCUCAACAAAAUCUUUAUACCCUACCACUCCGUAUCUUUGGGUGCACAUGUUUUGUUCAUGACCUUACUCCAUGGAAAUAUAAGCUUGUUGCAAAAUCCCUUAAGUGUCUUUGUCUCGCUACUCUCGCUGCAGAAAGGUUAUCGGUGCUAUUCUCCAGAUAUUCGACGAUACUUUAUCUCUGCCGAUAUCAAUUUCUUUGAGACUCGUCCUUUCUUUCUCUCUACUGCAGAAGAGUUCAAUGAUUCUGGUCAGUCACAAUCUAUCUCUCCAGAGGUCCUUAAUCUCCCCAUUGCACCCACCCCUAUCUCUAUUUCCACCCCUGUCUCUAGCACCACCCUAUGCACCUACCAACGAGGCCCCGUCCACCACCCGCUCCUCAAGACUCAUCCCCUGCUCUACCUAACUCUCAUUCUCUGCAUCCUACACAAGGGCUACCCAUUGCUUUGCAUAAAAGUCACAGGUCAUCUCAAAAUCCUAAUCCUAUAUAUGUUUGUCAUUUGAAUUAUAAUCAAUUAUCUACAUCCUAUUAUGCUUUUGUGGCUUCCUUGGAUUAUGUGUCUAUUCUGAAAACUACAAGGGAAGCUAUGUGUAAUCCUGGCUGGCGACAAGCAAUGAUAGAUGAAAUGAAUGCUUUUCACUCCAAUGGGACAUGGGAUUUAGUACCUCUACCUGAUGGAAAAACCACAGUGGGGUGUCGUUGGGUCUAUAUAGUCAAAGUUGGGUCUGAUAGAAAUAUUGAUCGCUUAGAAGCUCGUCUUGUGGCAAAAGGAUACACACAGAUCUUCAGCCUUGACUAUGGGGAUACCUUUUCUCCAGUUGCCAAAAUCGCAUUCGUCUGACUUUUUCUUGCCAUAGCUGCUAUUCACCACUGGCCUCCACCAAUUAGACAUAAAAAAUUUCUUCCUGCAUGGAGAGUUACAAGAUGAGGUGUAUAUGGCACAACCACCAGGCUUCACUGUUAGCGGUACCUCUCACUUGGUAUGUCGAUUACAUCAAUCUCUAUAUGGCAUGAAACAACCUUCCCGUGAUUGGUUUGAGAGGUUUAGUACCGUGCUCUAGGAGUAUGGUAUGACUAGAUGUGAAGCUGAUUACUUGGUUUUCUUCUUGCACUAUUCACCAACCACUUGCAUCUACUUGCUUGUCUAUGUUGACGACAUCAUCAUCACAAGUAAUGACUAGGUUGACAUUCAUCAGCUCAAACAACAUUUGUCUCAAAACUUUCAGACUAAAGAUUUGGGACCGCUAAAAUAUUUUUUAGGGAUUGAGGUUGCUCAGUUUAACAAUUACUCAGUGGAAGUAUGCCCUUGAUAUACUUGAAGAAACAUGCAUGCUUGAUUGUCGCCUGCGUGAUACUCCUAUGGAUCCCAAUGUCAAGCUCCUACCAGGUCAGGGGGAGCCAUUGCAAGGCCCUGAUAGAUAUCGACGACUUGUUGGCAAACUUAAUUAUCUUACAGUAACUAGACCUGAUAUUGCAUUUGUUGUAAGUGUAGUCAGUAAAUUUUUGAUGCUCCAUGUGAUAGUCACUGGAAUGCUGUGAUUCAUAUUCUUAGGUAUUAUGAAUCCAGGUCACCAAGCCCCUAAGUGACUUAGGUAUUAUGUAGUCAGUAAAUUUUUGAUGCUCCACUGGAAUACUGUGAUUCAUAUUCUUAAGUAAAUUCAAUUCAAUGACCCCUAAGUGACUUAGUGAAUGCACCAAGCAAGGGUAACAUCGAAGUUGUUGGCUACUCUGAUGCUGAUUGGGUAGGGUCACCAUCAGAUAGAAGAUCCACUUCUGGGUAUUGUGUCCUUGUUGGAGGUACUUUGAUAUCGUGGCGGAGUAAGAAGCAAAACAUAGUCGCAAGAUCGAGUGCAGAAGCAGAAUAUCGUGAUAUGGUUGCAACGACUUGUGAACUUACAUGGCUAAAACAAUUACUCAAACAACUCAAGUUAUGAGAUGUCAAUGUAAUGAAACUAAUUUGUGAUAACCAAAUUGCACUUCAUAUUGCUUCCAAUCUGGUCUUCCAUGAGAGAACAAAACACAUAGAGCUUGAUUGUCAUUUUGUAAGAAUUAAAGUUCUUUUCGGAGAAAUCACAACUAAUUUUGUUGGUUCAAAUGAUCAAUUGGCUGACAUAUUCACUAAGUCACUUAGGGGUCAUUGAAUUGAAUUUAUAUGUAACAAGUUUGGUGCAUAUGAUAUGUAUGCUCCAACUUGACGAGGAGUGUUAGAAUUUAAAGUAUGAUUAUUAUUCUUUGACUAUACAAUUUCCUAGGUUAAUUGGUAGAACUUCUAGUCAAACACAAGUUUCUAGUAUUUUAAUGUAAUUAUCGUAACCUCAUUAUAAAUAGAAGAUGCGUGAUCAAAUAGUUCUUCAUCAUUUCUCUAACUAUAAAAAUAUAUUUAUUCAUAAUUGGUGAUCUUACAACUAUGAAAGUACACAACUAGUUGGAUUUGUCCAUGUCGAACCAUAUUAGCCACUUUACUAUUUAAGCUUCAAGAUUCACAUAAAUGCUCAAAUUGAAAUACCAAGCAAUUAUCUAUUUCUUAUGUAUUCAAUCUCAAAUAUUUUCUCUAAGCAAACAUAUUUUAGAUGCUCUUUCUAGAGUUUAGAAAAUAUUAUAUAAUCAAUAUAAACAAUAGUUAUAUCAAAUGUUUUAAAAAAAAUCAAGAAUGAGAAAUAUAUUAUUUAUUAUAAUAUAUUAAAAUAACCUUAAACAUUCUCUCCAUUGAUAUAUCAUCUAUUUAUGUGUCACUUACUCAAAUUUAUUCCACAUCAUAAAAAUUUGAUGUGUCACUCUCUAUAUUCAUUCACCCUUAUUAAAUUAUAUCUUCUAUGCUUUCAUUGUAAUACCUUAUCAUUCAUGUCCUUAAAUGCAAUUCAUUUUUAUAAUUUUUGGUUACUUAAUCUAUCAAUGCAUAUGACUAUUGUUUUCACCUUUUCUGUUACUAAACUUUGUUUUGUAAAAAAAAAAAUUUUGGACCUCACUAAACUUCUUUGUCUUCUAAACUUAAACAUAAUCUUCUAAACUUAAACAUAUCUGCUAAUUAACUUUUAAGUCACACACCCUUACUUAAUAAAUUUAUUAAUGUUAAUAUAUUAUCAUCAAUGUGCUCAUUUUAAUUUCUAAAUCAAUUUGUAACAUAAAUUUUAAAUAAUCAAUUCAUUCAUUCUAUUUGGUAGUUGAAUUAUUUUUUAUUCUAAACCAAAGUAUUGUAUUAAUCUUAUUUGAUAAUUCAUCAAUUUUUAGAAGAGUUUGCGUUUAAGAUUAUUUGUAAUUUUUUGCAGGGAUCAAAUUUGCUAAUUUAGAUUUGUGUUUUUCAAUUUCAAGUCUCUGUUGAGAUUUGCCAGUUUAAAUUUCUUGCAUUGAAGAAGUAAAAUUAAUGAAGGUUCUCUUCCAUUGUCAAAAAAGACCAACAAUAUUGGAUAGCUACUAUGGUAACAUUAUCUAAUUUUUAAAUUAAUUAUUUUGUGUUUUUUUUACUAUGAUUUGGUUGUUCUUCUGCAUUUCAUGUUUGAUAAGUCUCUAUUUCAUGUUUGAUAAGUUUAAAUAUUUUUUAUAUGACUGUAUUGUAUCGAUUAGUUGUUGUGUAAAUGUGAAGGUGAUUUAAGUAAAUACAAAAAUGGUGGAUUCAACAUCCAAAUGAUUGUCCUUGGGCGUUAUGUUGCUAGAGGGUACUGCUCAAAGACGGAAAAAUUUAUCUAUAUAUAAAUUAUUUACUAUGUUAAACAUAGUUUGGUUAGUAAGCUAAUGGACAACAAACUAAAUUUAAACAAACCAUGAUACUAAAAUAACUAUACUAAUUUAUUUUUGUGAAUGUUAAUUUUUAUUUCAAUUUCAUUGUGUAUAUUUUAGUAACAUAAACUUUAAACUUAUGUAAUAUUAUUAGAAUAUAUAACAAUGCAAAUAAGAUUUCUGUCAUUUGUAUAAAUAGACACCUUAAUUGUGAUUAUGGAAUAUAUUUCAUUAUCUUAACACAAUUUUGUUAAAGUUGUAACGUUUUCGAGCAUGAAUUGUCUUUUGCACUUUGUAAAUAAUUUUCACAAUGUUGAACUUUUCAAUCUCUUAGUAUAAUACAUUGACUUUCAAUAAAGCUUAGUUCUACAAUUUCAAAAUAAUUUUAUAUAUCUCCGAACUCAACCUCUAACGUGCUGAUAUUUUACAACAUUUCUAUUUGAAGUAUGAUUUUUGACUCAAAAUUAACACUUUUAACUCUUCACGCAAUUUAAAAAAUAAUAAUUUAAUUUCAUGAAAAAUCUCGUGCAAUGUGCAUGGAUCCAUCUAGUUAUUAUUAAAUUGACAUUAAUGACUAUUUUAAAAUUAUACCUUAGAGAAUUUAAAUGAUAUAUGCUAAGUUAUAAUAUUACACUCAUACGACCGAGCUAACACAUCAUAGACAUAAUUAUAACAUAUUUAUUUCUAUGUUUUCUCAAAUAAAUACAUAGAUAAAUACGGCCUUUUAUAUCAUUCAUUUAGAAAUUUUUACUGGCACAAUCAUACCACGUAGGCACACAUUGUAUUAAUCCAUAAAGAAACUUUUUUUUUGACUCAAAUCUAUAAAGAAUUAGUCAAUAUAGUAUUAAGUAAUCUCUUUUAGUUGGACAAUUGAUACUAAAUUAUUGUUGGUUGCCUUCUAAAAAUCUAUCAUGCCUCAUCACUAUACUUAGAAAAGUAAAUUAAGCUUUGUUGAUAUAUAUCUCUAAUAUUUGGAGAAUCAACGUGAAUGGUACCACAAGCUUUAGAGAUUCUAUUGUAACUAUGCUGCAUGGAUGCCAUGUGCACAACAGGUUUAAUAACUCUUAAAGACAAGAAUAGUACCACACAAACUUUGUGGUGCAUGGAAGCCAUUUGGACAAAGUAAAACAAGGUAGUUUUGAUACCCUUUUGGAGACAACCAUAAAGUUUGGAGUGUGAUGCAUGGAUGACAUUUGCACAAGCUUUCUUAACCACUUGGAGGAAUCAAUUUCAAUGUAUAACAAUGGCAUACGACAAGCUUUGCAUGCAAAUGUAACUAAAUAGUUGCAUGUGGAAUUACUAUAUAUAUGGCUACCUUGUAACAUUCAUACACACACUCAACUAAUUAGUUUCUAUAUAGUCAUCACUUCUUCAUAGCCAAUCAAUGGAGUUUGCACGUCUCUCUAUUUUAACUUUGUUUUGUGUAAGCUAACUCAUUUUCUACUUUACUUGAUAACUUUAAGUUAUGAUCUAUAUUGUUUCAAAUUCUUCCAUGCACUUUGAAUGUUUUAAAUUACAAUAUAAAUUAAUCUCAAUGUUUUGUGCAUGCAUAAAUAGUUUUCAUUAGAUAUUAUCAUGAAGAGGGACACUUUUACAAAACAUUGCUAAUAUGUAAUGUGAACAAUAUAUUUUUUGCAGUUAGCUUUUGUGGGAAUUAGUGCAUCACCACUGUCCGGUGAAGAUUAUUGGCAAUCUAUUUGGCCAAACACUCCUCUGCCUAAGAUUUUCUUAGAUCUACUUUUGCCUUGUAAGUAGUAUUGUAUGUGUUUGUUUAUUAACUUUGUUAUAAUGGUUUAGUUUAAUGUUUUGUUGAAGAGUUCAUAUCUCCUACAAUUAAUUUAUGGUACAACAACUAUAAGUACUCUUAAACUUAGAGAUAUAAACUUGAUCUCUCUAAAUCUAAUACUUUUUACAAUUGCUACACCAUAAAUUAGUUGUAGAGAAUCCAAUUUGUUGGUUGAUUGAUCUAUAAAUCAAUGGCUCGUCACGUUAAUGUUAUUGUUUCAUGUGUGAAUUAGUGUCACAUAACAUGAUAUAAGAUACUUUUUUUUUGUUAAUGUACAGAUGGAAGAACCAAUAGUCUACCUAUCAGAGCAGAAGAAAUGAAUCAAUAUUCAACACUCUUUUUCGAACAUGACCUUUAUCCUGGAAAGAAAAUGACCUUGGGUAAUAUUCAAUCUUUGGGAAAGAUGGUGCGACCAUUCAUAAAACCAACACAAGGUGUUACAGACUCCAUAUGGUUGGCAAAUAAAGAGAGACAAAGUCUUAAUGACUUUUGUUCAAGCCCAACUGCUACAGGAGAACACAAACAUUGUGUAUCAUCUUUGGAAUCAAUGAUUGAUCAUGUCAUUUCACAUUUUGGGACAACAAAGAUAAAGGCAAUUUCAAGUACCUUUGUCCAAAACCAAGACCAAUAUGUUGUUGAGGAAGUGAAAAAAGUUGGAGACAAUGCAGUGAUGUGUCAUAGAUUGAAUUUCGAAAAAGUUGUAUUCAAUUGCCACCAAGUGCAAUCAACAAUCGCUUAUGUGGUCUCAUUGGUAGCCCCUGAUGGAACUAAAGCUAAGGCUUUAACAGUUUGUCACCAUGAUACAAGAGGGAUGAACCCUGAGUUGCUUUAUGAAGCUCUUAAAGUUGAUCCUGGAACCAUCCCUAUUUGUCAUUUCAUUGGAAAUAAGGCUGCUGCAUGGGUGUCCAAUCAUUCUAAUGACCAUCUAUGUGUUAUUUAGGUGCUAACUUGUUGUGCACAUCAUUUCUCAUUCAAUAAUUUUACACUAAACAUGUGUUUGUAUGGAGAAACACGAUGUGCAAGUAUCAAAUCUCAUGUAUUUCAAAUAAAACUAGGUAGUUCUAUUCUAGUUAGAACUAUGGGUGUACUUUGGUAUGGUCGGUAGGCAACCUAGUUUCCUAUGAUCAAUACACCAGUGUACGUUUAAAAUCGAUAAUGAUAAAAAAAUGUUAUUUAAUGUAAUAUAUUGUUGAUAUUUCAUUUGUGUUUUAAAAAAGUAGAAUAUGUCUAGGGAUGUCAAUGGGUAGGAUUUGGAUUGGAUAUUAUAGUACUCGUUCCCUUAUCCGCAUUUUAUAAAAAUAUUCAUACUCGUGCUCGUGUAUCAACUUUAAUAUGUGUACCCUUACCCUUUGGGUACCUUAUUCGUCCAUAUACCUAUUAUACACACUUUAACUAAAAUAAAUCGAUAAAUAAGUGAUAUUGUUGUGAUUAAUUAUUUAAAAAUUAUUCAAAUAUCUUAAAUCUAAUCAUGAUGCUUAGUUUGUUUGUCAUCAUAGUGUCAAGUUGUUUUUUUUCUCGUUUAAGUGCGGUGUUUACAUAGGCAACAAACUUGUUUGUUUUUCCGUCUAAGUGUGGUGUAUACAAAGACAACAAACUUGUUAUGUUGGUACCAUACUCACUCGUUCUUAUAUAUGAUGAUUUGUCAACACGUGAUUGGAUUGGUCAUUUCAAAGAUCAUCCUAUAAUCAAUAAGAGCGAACACCAACAAUAUAUUUUUCCGAAGAUGGAUUGAAUUAAAACUAUAGAUCUUGUCUUAUUCUUGACUAUUGUCCAGGAAGAAAUUAGUUUGAUUACUUGAAUUAAAAUUUUGGCUUGAUCAUCUUUCAUUGAUUUAUAAAAUCUUUAUAUGUAUUGUUGGCAUGUUUUGUGUUUUUUUAAUUAGUUUUGAUCUCAAAAUAUAGAAGGGGAAUAUUUCAUAUCAUGAUGAAUUUGCUUGUAAUUUUCUUAUUUACAUUUGAAUAAAGCUUAAAACAAAUACAAACAUGCAAUAUAUUUCUAAUAUGGUGAAAAAAUAAGCAAAGAUAGUCACACAACUAGAGAUGACAACACAACUUGUAUUUGCGACUAUCCACUUGAAAUUUUUUCGAUUUGGACAGAGAAAACUCACUUUGAUUGGUUGCGGGUGUAGAUUUUCUCCGGAAUUAAAACUCGGGCGAAGACAGGUUUGGAGUAUUCAUAUCCACCCCGCCUUUGUUCUCAAACUCAUUUUGUUAGUACUAUUAUUGUCAAUUUUAAAUUUUAUAUACAUGUAUUUAUUCAAUAUAUUUAAUAUUUUUUUAAUAUUAAAAAUUAUAAUCUUCUCUCUAGAAAAUAUAAUUUUAAUAUUUUUUAAUUUUAUUAUAUUAAAUAUAAUAAAUAUGACUUUUAAAGUUAUUAUUUUAUGUAUAUGAAUGGGUGUAGAUGUGGUUGGGACCGAACCCCGUCAUAGAUAUAAAUAGAGAAUUAAAUUUUACACCUGAUAACAAACAAGGACGGUGGCGGGUUUUCUCGGGUGCGGGAUGGAGGAGGCGAAACCUGCAUCUGCCCCUAUUACUAUGCCUAAUGAAAACCACGUAAUAAUGAGUUCGUUUGUUUAAGAUUUUUAAAAAGUGAUUUUGACUUUAUAUUGGAAAUUUUUUUUAAGAUAACUUAUUGAAAAAUAUUAUAAGUUGCUUUAGUCUAAUUUGUUAUUGAUUAAAAAAUUAAUUUUGGCAUUCUAUAACUGAGAUAUUUAUUAUUAAAUAUUUUAACAUGAUAAUUUUAACAAAAAAUAUCUAUAAAAAAUGAUUUUUAUGAACAAAAUAAAUUUUAAUUUUAAUUUCUUUUUGAAAUUUCAUUAUCCAAAAAAAUUGUAGCAAAGAGAUAGAAUACUUAAAAUAAUAUUUUAAAAUAAACUAUGUAAAUCAAUUUUUCAUGUAAAAUUUUAUUUUUGAAAUUCUUUUUUAGAAAUUUUAUAACAAAAAGUAAGAUUAUUAUAAAAAUCUUGGACUAUCCCUAUGACUAUGGGAGUUGGAAGCUCUUAUUAAAAUUCUAAUCUAAAUGAAAAACAACCUUGCCCUUUUUUCCUAUAUACUAUAUUACACUCUAACCCUUGUUAUUCUACAAAACUUAAUUAUAGUUUUAUUAAAUUAAAAAAAAAUGUAAGUAGUUAUAAUUUUUUAAUUAAUAAUUUUUCCACUUUGCUAAUUUUUUUAAAAAAAAUUAACUAAAAUUUGAACUAGAUAAAGUAUAGAAGAAGGAAGAAAGAAUAGAGCAUAGAAUAUUAUAAUAUUUGCAUUAUAUUCUUCGAGGUGUAUUUCUAUAAAGUCACAUGAGUUCUAUUGAUAAUAGGAGAUAAAUCUUGUAACUUAUAAGUAUAUUAAGAGUCUAUUUUUAGAUGCACUAACAAUUAAAGCGAAGAACAAUAACAAUUGAGUGAAUGACUUUAAUUUAACUAUGGAGUUAUAUGAUGUAGGAAUAUAAACAUCCACUAAAUACUUUAAUUAUUCACUACACUCCCCCAUAUGAAAACCUUACUAAAAAAACUAGUGGUAAAAAAUUCUUGUGAAGAAAAAAAUUUACAACAUUUUUGUGGGAACUGUCUCAUUAAAAAUACUUUAAGAAAAACUCAAAAGGGAUAAAAUUUCGGUGAAGGAAAAAAUAGUGCAUUAUAUAUUUAUUUAUUUAUCAUUUCUAUGUAGAUAACAAUUUGUUAAACAAUAAAGAUCAAUCAAUUGUAGUAGUUGUUGAAAAAUUUCUUCGGAUGACUUCAUUGAUUUUUGUAUUAUCAAUUGGUUGAACAUUAAGACCAAAAACUAUUAUGCUAUAAUAUCUCUUGUUCUAUCUCCUAUAAUGAAUCAUUCUCAACUAAGGUGUGGAUGCAAUAUUAUUCUCAUAAAUAACUACUAUAGUUAUUGUUAUGAAACUUAAAUCAUAAUUCAUUUGCCUAUGUUGAAUCAUGACAGAUUUAAGUCAAAAACACCUUCUCGACUUUCCUAUGUGUAGUUCUAAGUAUAUAUUUCACUAUAUUUCAAUGCAGUUGUCUAUAUAUAUAAAGGACUACAUUUGUCUAAUAGAUAGAUUAACAACAAAGUAUAUUUUAAUGUGUAUUUUUAGAAAGGUAAAUAAGUAUAAUACAUAUAUAUAUAUAUAUAAUAUUUGGACCGUUCGAAAAAUAUAUUUGUUCCCAAUUGGUGAUCUUAAAACCAUCAAAAUAAACAAUUGAUUUGUUUUGUAUAUAUAGAACCAUUUUAGCACAUUUAUUUUUUAAGCUUCAAGAUUCAUAGAAACUUCAAAUGUUUUAAAAGCUCUUCUUAAGUUUAGAUAAGAUUUAUAUCAUUACCAUAAAUAAUAAUUAUAAUAUUUUUUUUUUUAAAUGGGAGAAGGAUAAAUUAUUAUUAAAUUAACACUAAUGACUAUUUUACGAUUGUUCCAAAUGAUAUUUGAAUUAUAUCUCUUUUGAUUACAAUAUUAAAUUCAUAUUGUUGAGCUACCACCUUAUGAACAUAAUUGUAGCAAAGUCAUUGUACAUAUUUCUAGUAGUGUUAAGUAAUCUAUGUUGCAAUUACAUUUACUAAACAAGAUGCGCUCAAUAUAAAGAUUAAAACUAUAAUUAUAUUUUAGUAUGGAAGUCAAACAAUGAAUGAACAUGCAUAUAAAUUAGGAUCUUCCACAUAUUUGAUUUAUCAAAGAUAUUUUUGAUGAAUUCAUUUAUUGUGGUCUCUCGGUAGUAGUCUUGACACACAUAGAAAAUAAAGACGGAUGACAAACACAAGUCACUUGUUACACACUCAUAUUUGAGUAGAACCCAUAUUAAUUAAUUUAUUUAGUUAGUAAUUCGAAUUAAUUUAAUUUAUUUAUGGCUUAAGUAUAUGUCUAGUCCAUGUAAUUUAAUGGUUUUUUUUGUCCCUAUAAUUUUUUUUGUUUCAAAUUUAGUCACAUAAGUUCAAUUUUGUUUUAAAAUCGUCUUUGUUGUUAGUGACUGUUAAAAAAAGCAGACAUGACAAAUAGAGAAUGGGUGGAAAAAAAAAGUGCAAUCUUACAAGAACAAAAAUAAAAAUUUAAAAAAAAAACACGAAUUUACAAGGACUAAACAUAUAUACUUUGAUUUGAUUUUUGACUCUGCAAGUUCACGCUUUUUUAUUUUCAUUUCUUCUCUGUUUUCCAUGUCAGCUUUUUUCAACAAUAACUAACAAUAUAGACGGUUUUAAAACAAAAUUGAACUUACAAAUUUAAAUUUGAAACAAACAAAAAAUUACAAGAAUGAAAACAAAAAAAAAACGCUAAUUUACAGAAACCUUAAAUUUUUUAAGCUUAAUUUAAUUAUUUAAUUUGAUCGCUAGUCAACUAAUACUCUUAAUAAAUAAAUAAAUAAUAUAAUUAAUAUAAGAUAUUUGUCUACAUAAUAUAAUUAGAAUAUAAUUAAAUAGUAAAAUAUUUCUAAACAUCUGUUCUAGUUGGAAAAUUGACACUAAAUUUUUGUUGGUUGCCUUCUAAAAAUCUAUCAUGCCUCAUCAUUGUACUAAGAAAAAUAAAUUAAGCUUUGUUAAUACCUUUACUCAAGGAGAAUCAACAUUAAAUAUUGGUACCACAAGUUUUGGAGAUUCUAUGUAUCUAUCCUGCAUGGACGCCAUGUCAUGGAAACAACAAUGGUACUACAAACCUUGGAGUGGGAUGCAUGGACGACAUUUGCACAAGUUCUGUUACCCACUUGUAGGAAUCAAAAUGAAUGAACAAAAUGGUUUAAGACAAGCUUUUCAUGUGAACUUACUAUAUAUAAUGGGCACCUUGUAACAUUUAUACACACACUCAAGUAAACUUAUAUAUAGUCAUCACUUCUUCAUAACCAACCAAUGGAGUUUUCACGUCUCUCUAUUUUAGCUCUAUUUUGUGUAAGCUAACUUAUUUUCUACUUCAAGAAUUAAAAGAUCCAUACAAAGUUUUCAUUAGGAAUUAUCAUUAAGGAAUAAGGAGGGACACUUUUUUUAAACAAUACUAAUAUAUGUAAUUUGAAUAUUUUUUAUUACAGUUGACUUUUGUGGGAAUUGACGCAUCACCAUUGUCUGCCGAAGAUUAUUGGAAAUCUGUUUGGCCAAAUGCUCCUCUUCCAAAGGCUUUCUUUGAUCUAUUGUUACCUUGUUAGUAGUAGUAUUAUAUAUAUAUUUGUUAGNNNNNNNNNNNNNNNNNNNNNNNNNNNNNNNNNNNNNNNNNNNNNNNNNNNNNNNNNNNNNNNNNNNNNNNNNNNNNNNNNNNNNNNNNNNNNNNNNNNNNNNNNNNNNNNNNNNNNNNNNNNNNNNNNNNNNNNNNNNNNNNNNNNNNNNNNNNNNNNNNNNNNNNNNNNNNNNNNNNNNNNNNNNNNNNNNNNNNNNNNNNNNNNNNNNNNNNNNNNNNNNNNNNNNNNNNNNNNNNNNNNNNNNNNNNNNNNNNNNNNNNNNGAAUUUACAUUAUGACGAUAGUUGUAUGUAUUUCUUCUAAUUUAUUUUUUAUUCUUUUAAACCCAAUGGUUCCUACGGCUCCUACUCAAUAAAUCAAUUGUAGGAGAUCCAAUUUUUGUUGAUAGAGCUAUAAAUCAAUUGUAGGAGAUCCAAUUUUUGUUGAUAGAGCUAUAAAUCAAUUGCUCAUUAUAUUUUUGUUAUUUUUUCAUAUAUGAAUUAGUGUCUCAUAACAAGAUUUUUAAGACUCAUUUUUAUCUAUUAUUGUGGCAGAUGGAAAAACCAAUAGUCUACCCAUAAAAGUUGAAGAAAUGAAUCAAUACUCGACACUCUUUUUUGAGCAUGAUCUCUAUCCUGGAAAAAAAAUUACCUUGGGUAAAAGUCAAUCUUUGGGAAAGAUGGUACGACCAUUCACAAAACCAACACAAGGUAUCACAGACUCCAUAUGGUUGGCAAAUAAAAAGAGACAAAGUCUUAAUGACUUUUGUGCGAGUCCAACGGCUACAGGAGAACAUAAACAUUGUGUGUCAUCCUUGGAAUCAAUGGUUGAUCAUGUCAUUUCACAUUUUGGGACGACAAAGAUUAAGGCAAUUUCAAGUACUUUUACCCAAAAUCAAGAUGAAUAUGUUGUUGAGGAAGUGAAAAGAGUUGGAGACAAUGCAGUGAUGUGUCAUAGAUUGAAUUUCGAAAAAGUUGUAUUCAAUUGCCACCAAGUGCAAGAAACAACCGCUUACGUAGUCUCAUUGGUAUCCCCUGAUGGAACUAAAGUUAAUGCUUUAACAGUUUGUCACCAUGAUACAAGAGGUAUGAAUCCUGAAUUGCUUUAUGAAGCUCUCAAAGUUGACCCUGGAACUGUCCCUGUUUGCCAUUUCAUCGGCAAUAAGGCUGCUGCUUGGGUACCUAACUUUUCUGAUGACCAUCUUUGUGUCAUCUAGAUGCUAACUUCUUGUGCACAUCAUCUCCCUUUCAAUAACAUCAUGUUCAAACUGGCUUUGUUUUAUUAAAUUUAUGUAUGUAUGUAUGGAGAAUGUGAUGUGCAAGUAUGGGAUUUCAUGUAUUUCAAAUAAAACUACUUCUAUUUUGAAUAUGUGUAUAUUUGCAUGUGUUGGGAGUUUGAUAUCCUCUACUCAGUACCUUGAUGUAUGUUGAACUUGAUAAUAAUGAGAAAAAAAGAGUUGUGUUUGAUAUACCUUGUUGACUGUAGACUUUUUAGACUUUGGAUAGAAAAAUUUCUUCCUUGUUAAAAUUAAAAUUACAAUUGACCAUAAAUCUAUAAGUUUUUCCUUUUCUAUACUACAUUCAAAAGAAGGAAUUGUAUUAAAUCAUAUAUUCAAAAUUUAUUCUCAAAGUAACUAAAAUCACCAAAACACUCGCAGCAUAUAAUAUCAACUCAAUUUUAGUUACAUGUGAUGAAGAGAUUCGUAAAUUAUCUUUUAUAGUUUUGAAUAUAAGUAAAAACUAGAUGUUAAUCUCUGCAAUUUAAGUGGAUCUUUAAAAAAAUCAAUAUGAAAUUUUAUGUCUCAAUUGUCAAAUGAUUAUUGAUAUAGUAGUUAUAUCAAUAAUAUGCAUUUAAUUUUAUAUAUAAAAUUUAUAGAAGAGAAGUAUCAUUGUCACGGAUGUUGUUAGCAAACACACCCAACAAUAAGGUAAGCAAAAAAGAUAUAUGUACUAUCAAUUAAGAAGAAGUGAAGAAACUUCUCAUGUUAUUACGCUCAAUAUUGCAUAUUCUGAAAAAAUGUAUACAAUUGCUAUCAAAUAAGUAAUGGCAGAUAGAGGCGAAAAUAAAACAUAUUGACUAGUAACGUGAAAUUAAUGUGAAAGAUGUUUAGCAAACGUUAUGAAAUAAUAAUGUGAUGUUAUGAAAUAAUAAUGUGAUGUUAUGAAAUAACAAUGUGGGAUUAAUUUAGAAAACUUUGAGUAGACGUUAUAAAAUGAUUAUCUUUAUGAAGACAUACAGUUUUUUGGUUGAUGUGAGAAAUAUUUAUAUAAAGAAAAUAGUACGAGGUAGAUAGAUAAUAAAAUUUAUGAUAAUUACGAAAGUCAAGUAAUUUCAUUUAAUUUUUUGAAUACCAUAAAAAAGGGGGGAGGGCCCUGCCAUAGUUUUUAAAAGUAAUCGCAAAUAACGAUUUAUUGUUUAUUAUUUGUUCACAUUGUUCAAAAAACAUACUAAAACUUUAAUUUCAACUUGUUUUGGCGUAUUCAUAUAGUAUAACAUAGCAGUACUAUAUCAUUUAUUAAUUAAUUUAUUUCCUUUGUAGAAGAUUCAAUUUCAGAAAAAUAAAUUUGGCACAUAUUUUAUAUUAGAUGUUUCAUAUUUUAUUUGAUAAAUAUGAAUAAUUAUUGGAAAUGGUUAAUUAUUAUUAUUUCUUUUUUGUAUUUUUUAUUUUAAAAUUAUUAAUAAUUCAACGGUAAUUAAGAUUUUAAAAAUUAUUUUUUAUUUUUUGUCAAAAAAAUUAUAAAAAUUGAAACAAUACUAUUUAAUUUAUCAUAUGAAUUAGUAGAUUUCAAGUAAAAUUUUAAUAUUUCAAUUAUUUUUUAAAAAAACUUUUUUUUCUAUAAAAUGCAAAAACUGAAUGAAUAAUUAAUAUCAUUUUAUAGACUUAAAUAUAAUUUUAGCUAUUUAUCUUUACCUAAUAAUAAUUUUAUUUUUUUAUCUUUUUUUAUUCAUUUUGGUUCUUUAUUAUCUUUUGUAAGCGGUGUAAUUUAGUCUUUUUCAUCAUAAUUAUUUUAAACAACUAUAUAAUUAUUGUAAAGUUAAGUAUGCAAUUUAAUAAGGAUGGGUGAAAUCUAAGAAACUAUGAUAAACGUCAUUCGUUUCAAAGAGUUCAUAUAUAUUUUAAAGCAUGUAAGAAUUUUUUUUUUUCUAAUGCAAACCUAUUAUUGAGUUAAAUGCAUAUUUUUUUGAAAGAAUACAUUAUACUGAAUACAUAUUGACAAUUGUUAGAAGGGAUUUCAAUUAUCAAAUGUUGUUAUAACUUUUGUUGUCUUUGUGACAAAAACUGAAAUACACCACUUAUAAAAGAUAAAGUACCAAAAUAUUAAAAUAAAUAUAAAGGACCAAAUCAAACAAAAAAAUAAAUAUAUAAAUAACCAAAAUGAAUAUUAAAGAAAAGAUAAAUGACUAAAAUUAUAUUUAAGGCUAUUUUAUAAGAUGUGCAUGCAUUAAAAAAAUAACUAAAUGCUUUCAACUAACUCAAUAGUAUAUAAUUUGAUGUUAAUUCAACUGCACAAACAUAUCUAAUAACUUCUAAUUCUUCAAACAAAAUUUUACCAUUAGGAAAAUGGUCACAUUUUCCCAAGUUUUAAGAUGUUUACAUCAUAUUUUAAUUUAGGUUAUUAUUAAAUAAUAAUUUAACCCUUAAUACUAGACAAAAUUAAAAAUAUUCUCAGAUAUAUAUACAGCUCAAAUCUUCUAUUAAGCUCAAAUCUUCUAUUAAGUGGAUAAUUGUUAAGUUUUUAUUUGAAUGUAACUUUAAUUAUAUAUUUUUUAUAUCUUAAUAUUUAUAUAUCCUAAUUAAUAUUAUUGAAGUAAAAAAAGUUUUGGGUAUCCCUAAAAAAUUAAUGUCUUAAGCAGUCAUUUAUCUCAACUAUACCCUCAAGAAUACCACUGCCUAACGGACGGGUAUUUUUCACCAAUAUUUUGUAUGGUUGAAUACUAGACAAUGUAGUAAAGACUAGUGGACUAAGGAUACUAGUGUCAUGAACCACUUUGGUUUGGUCUUUUGUCACUAAAAAUACCAGAUGUAUUUUGAAUAACCUCUUUUUAAAUUUUUUUUACUUAAAUACUCACUUUUGAAAAGUAUUAACUAAAAUGUCUUUUUUUUAUACCUUAUAAGUCCCCAUUUAUAAAAGUAAUUUUUCCGUUGCAAUGGCGACUUCCUUAAAUAAUUUAAAAAAAAAAUUAAUUUAUAUAUAUAUAUAUAUAUAAUUCAUAAAAAUACAUAAACACAAAUUUUAAAUUACAUAGAUUCACUAGAGUUGUCUAUAACAUUUUAAAUUACCUAAUUUAUUCAUAAAAACAUCACAAAUUUUACAAAAAUUACGAUAAAAUUAAUGUCGAAAAUGACCUCCAGUAUCAUAUUGCCUAUGUUUUCUCACAGUACAUAUGUACCAAGGCGUCGUCAAAAUCUCGUUCGUGUGAGAAAAUAUUGGCAAUGUGGUACUGGAGAUUACCUUCGACAUUAAUUUUAUCGUGAUUUUUGUAAAAUUUAUGAUGUUAUUUAUGAAUAAAUUAUAUAAUUUAAAUUUUGUGUUUAUGUAUUUUUAUGAAUUAUAUAUAUAUAUAUAUAUUGUUAAUUUAAUUUUUUUUUUUUGAAAAUUGCUUAAAGAAAUCGUCAUUGCAAAUUCGGACUUCCUUAAAGAAGUCGCCUUUGCAAAUAGAGACUUGUAAGAUAUAAAAAUAAAAAUAAAAAAAAUAAAAAAGAACAUUUUGAUUAAUAGUUUUCAAAAGCGGGUUAACUAAAUAAAAAAUUUAAAAGAGGUUAUUAAAAUAAAAAUAAAAAAAAACCUAUAUCAGAGCACUAGUAAGGAAAAAUAUACACAAAUUAUAUAUUACUUUGAAAAUGUUCAUUGUAUAAUGUAACAUUUUUAUUUAUAUAUUUAUAAAAAAAAUCAUAUGUUGUUCUUUUGUUUUUAGCAAAGGCCAGUUAAUUUAAAUAGGUUUGUUUGUUUCAAUAUUUUAUUUAUUUUAAUUUAAAUUUUUUAUUGGAUUGUUUGUGUAUAAAUUUUAUUAUUGAUUUUUUUUUUCAGAUGUAAUUAUUAUAUUUUAAUAUAUUUUGUGGUUAUUUAUGGUUGCUAUAUUUUAAUUAUUAAAAUAUAGUUAAAAUAUUGUGAUGUAUUUAUAUACAAUAAAUUUAAAAAGUAAUUGAUAAUUAAAUCAAAUUUGUAAUGAAAGCUAUAUUUUUUUAUUGUUAGUUUUUAAUCAUAGUUACAUAGAACAAAGAAGUAGUAGAAUGAUAAAUAAAGAAGAAAUGAAUUCUAGAGAUAUAACAUGUCGUCUUAUCGAAGGACUUAGGAUAAUUAGUAUUACAUGACAUAUAAGGAUGUAUUUGUGAAUAAUAUAAUUAUUUGAGGAUUUAUUUUAAUAUAUUAUUGUAUAUUGUAUAUUUUAUAUUGAUCCUAAUCUCAAUGAAGAAAAAAAAAACUUAUCGUUUUUUCUAUAUACUAUAUUACACUCUAAUCCGUAUUGUUCCACAAACCUUGAUUAUAGUUUUGUUAACUUAUAAAAAAAUUGCUAAAUUUAAAAAAUAUGAAUUAACUAAAACUAGAGCUAAAUAGAAGAAUGAAAGGAAGGAAGAAAAAAUAUACUAGAGAGAGAAUAAGAGAGUAUUUGCAUUAUGUUCUUCAAGGUGUAUUUCUAUAAAGGCACGUUAGUCCUAUUUAUAGGUAAUAAAUCUUAUAACUUAUAAGUAUAAUAGGAGUCUACUUUUAACUAUGGAGUUAUACGAUAUAGAAAGAUGAACAUUCUUUAAAUACUCUAAUUAUUUACAAUACUCCCCCUAAUGAAAAUUUUAUUAAACAAACUCUGUCACGAAAACGGCUAAAACUGUAUUUAUGUAAAAACUGACUCAUUAAAAAAAAUUCAAGAAAAACUGAAGAAAAAAAAUCAAAUUUUAAGAAAAAAGAAUGUAUUAUUUAUUUAUUUAUCCCCCACACAAUAACCUCUAAAACAAGGAAGAUCAAAUUUUCGUAAAAGUUGUUGAAAAAUUUACUAAGUGGUGACUUUGUACAAAUAUGUAUCAUCAAUUAGUUGAAGAUUACAACCAAAAAAUAUUUUACUAAAAUACAUUUUAUUCUAUCUCCUUUAACAAAUCAUUCUCCACUAAGGUGUGCAUGCAAUGUUAUCCUCGUAAAUAAUUAAUGUAGUUAUUUUUCUAGAACUCAAAUCAUUAUUCAUUUGCAUGUGUUGAAUCAUGAUAGAUCUAACUCAAAAUACCUUCUCAACUUACCUCAUGUAAUACUAAAAUUUCUACAUCUAUAAGAUAACCAAGUAUAUAUUUCACCAUAUUCUAAUGUCGUUGUGUAUAUAUAUAAAGGACUACAUUUGUUUAAUAGAUAGUUUGAUGCAAAUGAUAUUUCACAAUAUAAUUAGAAAGAUACAUAACUAUCUAAUUGCACUAAUAUAUGAAAUUUUAUGAUCAAAUAGUUGAUAUUCAGUCAUUUUCUCUAGCUUAAAAAAUAUAUUUGUUCACAAUUGAUGAUCUUACAACCAUCAAAAUGCACAAUUGAUGUGAUUUGUCUAUAUUGAACCAUUUUAGCACAUUUUCUAGUUAAGCUUCAAGAUUCAAAGAAAAAUUAUUCUUUAAAUACUCAAUUUGUAACCUCAAGCAAAUUUAUAUCCUUCUUAUGUAUUCCAUUUCAAACGUUUUCUCUAAAAAAUCAGAUUUUAGAAGCUCUUCCUAAGUUCAAAUAAUAUUUAAAUCAUCAACAUAAACAAUAAAUAUAGCACACUUUUUAAAAAAAUGAGGGAAGGAGAAAGUAUUAUUAAAAUGACACAAAUUAUCAUUUUACAAUUGUCCCAAAAGAUAUUUGAAAUAUGUAUUUUAAGGUUAUAAUUUUAAACUCUUACAGUUGAGCUAACACUUUAUGGACAUACUUAUAGCAAGUUCAUUUCUACAUAUUUUCAAAUAAAUACAAAGAUAAAUAUGAUAUUUCAUAUCAUUCAUUUAAGAGAUAUUCAAUGAGACAAUUAUACUACAUGUAAACGCAUGUAUUAAUCUAUAAAAUGACUUAUUCAAUAUAAUAUUGAGUAAUCUAUGUUGAAAUUAAACUUACUAAUUAAUCAAUACAAAAGAUGCUCAAUAUAAAGAUUAAAACUAUAAUCAUACUCUAGUGCAGAAGUCAAAUAACAUUUGAACAUGCAUUUAAUUAAAAUCUAUCAUAUAUUUAAUUUAUCAAAAAUAUUAAUACCAAGAUUAUGAAUGCAUUGAUUGUAGCAUGUCAAUAGUAUGCCUUAGACGCUUUUCAAAUGGGGAUAAUAGGCUGUGUGCGGUGUGUCCGAUAUAUCGGAAAUCGUGGAUCAACGAGGAACAUCCACUCAUAUUUGAGUCGGACACAUAUCACUUUAUUAAUUUAAUUAAUUAUCCAAAUAAAAAUUUAUUGAAUUUAAUUUAUAUAUAUUGUUUGUAUAAUUAUGUGAAUUGAGUUUUUACAUUGUCGGUAAAUGAAAAACGUUACAUCAUUAAAGAUUAAAGAUGUUUGACUUUUAUAAUUAUCUAUAAUGUCAUGUUCAUAAAUGAUUGUAAUGAUUGUCGAUGUAAGACUUUUUAUAUAAACUCAAAUCUAAUUAACCUUAUUACUUAAUUUGACCACUAAUCAAUUAAUCAUCCUAAUUAAUAAAUAACUAAUAUAAUUAAUAUAAGAUACAGGGCCUCAUAAUAUUGAAAUAUAAUUAAAUAAUAAAUUGUUCUAACAUCUCUUCUAGUUGGAAAUUGACACUAAAUUAUUGUUGGUUGCAUUCUAACAAUAUAUCAUGCCUCAUUUGUUGUACUAAAAAAAGUAAAUUAAGUUUUGCUAAUAUAUAUAUCUCUAAUAUUUAGAGAAUCAACGUAAAUGGUACCACAAGCUUUGGAGAUUCUAUUGUAACUAUGCUGCAUGGAUGCCAUGUGCACAACAGGUUUAAUAACUCUUAAAGACAAGAAUAGUACCACACAAACUUUGUGGUGCAUGGAAGCCAUUUGGACAAAGUAAAACAAGGUAGUUUUGAUACCCUUUUGGAGACAACCAUAAAGUUUGGAGUGUGAUGCAUGAAUGACAUGUGCACAAGCUUUCUUAACCACUUGGAGGAAUUGAUUUCAAUGUAUGACAAGAAUAGUACCACACAAACUUUGUGGUGCAUGGAAGCCAUUUGGACAAAGUAAAACAAGGUAGUUUUGAUACCCUUUUGGAGACAACCAUAAAGUUUGGAGUGUGAUGCAUGAAUGACAUGUGCACAAGCUUUCUUAACCACUUGGAGGAAUUGAUUUCAAUGUAUAACAAUGGCAUACGACAAGCUUUGCAUGCAAAUGUAACUAAAUAGUUGCAUGUGAAAUUACUAUAUAUAUGACUACCUUGUAACAUUCAUACACACACCCAACAAAUUAGUUUUUAUAGAGUCAUCACUUCUUCGUAGUCAAUUAAUUAAUGGAGUUUGCACGUAUCUCUGUUUUAGUUCUGUUUUGUGUAAGCUAACUUAUUUUUUUACUUUAGAAUCUUUUAAUUUGCAAUUUCAAUUAAUCUCAUUGUUAUUUACUUUAAGAAUUAAUGCAAGCAUAAAAAGUUUUCAAUAAAAAUUGAAGAGAUGAACACUUUUUUUAAACAAUACUAAUAUGUGAUGGGAACAUUUUUUUGUAGUUGGCUUUUGUGGAAAUUGGUGCAUCACCAGCUGAAGAUUAUUGGCGAUCUAUUUGGCCAAACACUCCUCUGCCUAAAGCUUUCUUUGAUUUGUUGUUGCCUUGUUAGUAAUAUAUAUUAAUAUAUAUGUGUGUGUCAUGUGUGUUGUCUGCAUGAAUGAAUAAUUUUUACUUUAAAUCAUAAUGGUUAAACCAAUGAUUACAUGUUCAUGUUUAAGUUGAAAAUGUUUAUAAAAAUAAAGGACCUAUGUGGGAAAAGUAGAGAUAAAGCUGUAAAUGUUUAUAAAGAUAAAUGAUAUGUGUGGGAAAAAAAAUAAAAAAGGUGGAUAUUUUACUACUAAAUAAGAUAAAGGAUUUUAGAUGUAAUUAUACCUUAAUUUUAAUUUUUUUUGCAAUAGGUGUAUAGAAUUAGAUAUUGGUUUAUUAUGUGUAUUUCUUCAAAUUUAAUGUAAGGAUCCUCUGCAUUUGUUUUAUGGUACAUCAUAUAUAAGUAUAGUAGAUUUAGAGAGAAAAAUAUCAUCUCUCUAAAUUCAACUAAGCUACUACACUAUAUAGUUUUAUAGUUGGUCAAGGGAUCUAAUUUGUAUAUCGAGAGCUCUAUAACUCAAUUGCUCGUAAUAUGAAUGUUAUCAUUUCAUGUGUAAAUUAGUGCCUCAUAACAAGACUUAGGAUCCAUUGUUUGAUUAAUAUGCAGAUGGAAGAAGCAAUAGUCUACCCAUUAGUGCCAAAGAAAUGAAUCAAUAUUCGACACUCUUUUUCGAACAUGACCUCUAUCCUGGAAAGAAAAUUUCUUUAGGUAACAUUCAAUCUUUGGGAAAGACCGUACGACCAUUCAUAAAACCAACACAAGGUGUCACAGACUCCAUAUGGUUGGCAAAUAAAGAGAGACAAAGUCUCGAGGACUUUUGUGAAAGCCCAACUGCUAUAGGAGAACACAAACAUUGUGUAUCAUCUUUAGAAUCGAUGAUUGAUCAUGUCAUUUCACAUUUUGGGACGACAAAGAUUAAGGCGAUUUCAAGUACCUUUGUCCAAAAUCAAGACCAAUAUGUUGUUGAGGAAGUGAAAAAAGUUGGAGACAAUGCAGUGAUGUGUCACAGAUUAAAUUUUGAAAAAGUUGUAUUCAAUUGCCACCAAGUGCAAGCAACAACAGCUUACGUGGUCUCAUUAGUAUCCCCUGAUGGAACUAAAGCUAAAGCCUUAACAGUUUGUCACCAUGAUACAAAAGGUAUGAAUUCUGAGUUGCUUUAUGAAGCUCUCAAAGUUGACCCUGGAACUGUUCCUGUUUGCCAUUUCAUCGGCAAUAAGGCUGCUGCUUGGGUACCUAACCAUUCUAAUGACCAUCUUUGUGUCAUCUAGAUGUUAACUUGUUGUGCAUGUCAUCUUUCUUAUCAAUAAAAUCAUGCUAAAAUCACACUUCAAAUAUGAGCAUUUUCAACUUCAUGGAACUCUCAUGUUCAAAUUGGAUUUGACUUUCAUGUUCAAACUAGGUUUGUUUUAAAGUUAUAUAUGCAUGGAGAAAUGUGACGUGCUAAGUAUCAAAUUUCAUGUAUUUCAAAUAAAAC
rnacentral:lncRNA from 1 species